rnacentral:rRNA from 1 species
AGUGAACGCUGGCGGUAGGCCUAACACAUGCCAGUCGAACGGCAGCACAGUAAGAGCUUGCUCUUACGGGUGGCGAGUGGCGGACGGGUGAGGAAUACAUCGGAAUCUACUUUUUCGUGGGGGAUAACGUAGGGAAACUUACGCUAAUACCGCAUACGACCUACGGGUGAAAGCAGGGGAUCUUCGGACCUUGCGCGAUUGAAUGAGCCGAUGUCGGAUUAGCUAGUUGGCGGGGUAAAGGCCCACCAAGGCGACGAUCCGUAGCUGGUCUGAGAGGAUGAUCAGCCACACUGGAACUGAGACACGGUACAGACUCCUACGGGAGGCAGCAGUGGGGAAUAUUGGACAAUGGGCGAAAGCCUGAUCCAGCCAUACCGCGUGGGUGAAGAAGGACUUCGGGUUGUAAAGCCCUUUUGUUGGGAAAGAAAAGCAGCAGGUUAAUACCCCGCUGUUCUGACGGUACCCAAAGAAUAAGCACCGGCUAACUUCGUG